GGGAGCGUGGCGCAGCCUGGAAGCGCACCCGUCUCAUAAACGGUCGGACGUGGGUUCAAAUCCCACCGCUCCCACCA
rnacentral:tRNA from 1 species